rnacentral:misc_RNA from 1 species
GAUGAAGAACGUAGCGAAAUGCGAUAAGUAAUGUGAAUUGCAGAAUUCCGUGAAUCAUCGAAUCUUUGAACGCACAUUGCGCCCCCUGGUAUUCCGGGGGGCAUGCCUGUCCGAGCGUCAUUGCAACCUUCAAGCGCGGCUUGUGUGUUGGGCCUCGUCCCCCGUGGACGGGUCUGAAAGGCAGUGGCGGCGCCCGAACCUGGUGCCUGAGCGUAUGGGAAUCUUUUUUCUGCUCAAUGUGGCCCAGCGGAUGCUGGUCUUGACCAGAGGAUCUUGCAUCCUCUCACCGGUUGACCUCGGAUCAGGUAGGGAUACCCGCUGAACUUAAGCAUAUCAAUAAGCGGAGGA